CGUAGGGUGCAAGCGUUGUCCGGAUUUAUUGGGCGUAAAGAGCUCGUAGGCGGUUUGUCGCGUCGGAUGUGAAAACCCAAUGGCUUAACCUUGGGCCUGCAUUCGAUACGGGCAAACUAGAGUGUGGUAGGGGAGACUGGAACUCCUGGUGUAGCGGUGGAAUGCGCAGAUAUCAGGAAGAACACCGAUGGCGAAGGCAGGUCUCUGGGCCAUAACUGACGCUGAGGAGCGAAAGCGUGGGGGAGCGAACAGGAUU
rnacentral:rRNA from 1 species